rnacentral:rRNA from 1 species
AAAGCUCAAAGUUGGAACCUCCUAGCCUUAGGUUAGGCGGAUUGUAAACUAAAGCUUUCGAGUAGUUUGGCUGGCUCGGUAAAUAAGUUCUCUGGAAAGGGACGACAAAGAGGGUGAAAUCCCCGUUUUUGGCCGAAGCUUAGUCUUGCGUUUGCUUGGAAGUGAAGAGUCAGGUUGUUUGGUAUUGCAGCCUAAAGUUGGAGGUAAAUCUCUCCUAAAGCUAAAUAUUGACGAAAGACCGAUAGCGAACAAGUACCGUGAGGGAAAGAUGAAAAGCACCUUGAAAAGGGGGUCAAAAAGUACGUGAAAUUGCUGAAAGGGAACCGUAUGAAAUCAGCUUGGCCGUUUGGUAAUCAGCCUAGACUUUGGUUUGGGUGCACUUGCCAUUUGGUACAGCCUGCGACAAUUUGAUUCGGGGGAAAAAAUGAGAGAGAAUGUGGCCUUGCCUUCGGGGGAGGUGUUAUAGCUCUUUUAAAAAUACUCUGAAUUAGAUUGAGGAUCGCAGCGAGCCUUUAGGGAUGAACUGUGGGCGCUUGGUGGUUGCUAGGGAGAAAUUUCUAUUUAGGUAGUGUCUUUCUCGUAGCUGCCAACUCGCCUACUUUUUCUUUUUCUCGCUUAGGUCGCAGGCAUAAUGAUUUUAUAUGACCCGUCUUGAAACACGGACCAAGGAGUCCACCAUUAGUGCGAGUCUUUGGGUGUAAAAACCCAUAGGCGGAAGGAAACUGACCAAGAUAUGAAGGCUUACGCCGGCAAUAUCCUCCAGCGAGGACGUUUUAUACUGAAUUGACUGAGAGAAAGCACUAAUGAUGGGACCCGAAAGAUGGUGAACUAUACUUGAAUAGGGUGAAGCCAGAGGAAACUCUGGUGGAAGCUCGUAGCGAUUCUGACGUGCAAAUCGAUCGUCAAAUUUGAGUAUAGGGGCGAAAGACUAAUCGAACCAUCUAGUAGCUGGUUCCUGCCGAAGUUUCCCUCAGGAUAGCAGAAACUUAUUAAGCAGUUUUAUGGGGUAAAGCGAAUGAUUAGAGGCCUAGGGGGCGAAAUGCCCUUUACCUAUUCUCAAACUUUAAAUAUGUAAGACGCCUUUCUUUCUUAAUUGAAGUUGGGCUUUUGAAUGCAGAGUUUCUAGUGGGCCAUUUUUGGUAAGCAGAACUGGCGAUGCGGGAUGAACCGAACGUAAAGUUAAGGUGCCCAAAUCUACGCUCAUCAGACACCACAAAAGGUGUUAGUUCAUCUAGACAGCAGGACGGUGGCCAUGGAAGUCGGAAACCGCUAAGGAGUGUGUAACAACUCACCUGCCGAAUGAACUAGCCCUGAAAAUGGAUGGCGCUUAAGCGUAGUACCUAUACUUUACCGUCAAUGUAAAAGCGAAGCAUUGACGAGUAGGCAGGCGUGGAGGUUU